UUCCCAGGCAAAAUUUCUAGUAACUCAGCAUUUGGUACCAUCUUUACUAUAAUUUUAUACAGUACCCUGCAUGUCUCAUUAAUUAAGAUUUAAAUCCUUUUAUAGAUUGUCACAUCAGUGAGCAAGGUUCAGUUUAGGGAUUGAGAACCCUCAGCGACUAUAACAUCUAGCCCAUAUUCACAUUGUAGCACUUGAUUGCUGCCACUGAUUCUUCAAAAUGCCUAUCUUGUAUGGGAUGCUUGACAGUCAAAUGGAAUGAUUUAAACAAAUGCCAAAGGUGAGACAUGCUGGAAAAGCUUGAUAUGAAUGUGUAGACGCAGUUUUGGAAUUCAGAGGUGCAGCCGGCUGUUGGGAUUGUGCCAUCCAGGCAAUGUGGAUGUUCUGCCAUGUACAUGAUAAACCAAGGAUUCUUCGUCAACAGGCAAAAUGUUACUCCCUGUAAACUACUGUUGGCAGAAUAGCUGAUCCAUUGGGAAAACGGUUAUGGCAAGUGCGAUGAAUAAAUCACCAUAGGUCAGUUGUCUUGCCUUCACAAUUGCAACGAAGAUGAAUCAUGGAGUCAAAAACAU